GGUUAAGUUAGAAAGGGCGCACGGUGAAUGCCUUGGCACUAGGAGCCGAUGAAGGACGGGACUAACACCGAUAUGCUUCGGGGAGCUGUAAGUGAGCUUUGAUCCGGAGAUUUCCGAAUGGGGAAACCCACUGUUCGUAAUGGAACAGUAUCUUUAUCUGAAUACAUAGGAUAUUGAAGGCAGACCCGGGGAACUGAAACAUCUAAGUACCCGGAGGAAGAGAAAGCAAAUGCGAUUUCCUGAGUAGCGGCGAGCGAAACGGAAUUAGCCCAAACCAAGAGGCUUGCCUCUUGGGGUUGUAGGACACUCUAUACGGAGUUACAAAGGAACGAAGUAAAUGAAGCGACCUGGAAAGGUCCGUCGAAGAAGGUAACAACCCUGUAGUUGAAACUUCGUUCCCUCUUGAGUGGAUCCUGAGUACGGCGGAACACGUGAAAUUCCGUCGGAAGCUGGGAGGACCAUCUCCCAAGGCUAAAUACUACCUAGUGACCGAUAGUGAACCAGUACCGUGAGGGAAAGGUGAAAAGCACCCCGGAAGGGGAGUGAAAGAGAUCCUGAAACCGUGUGCCUACAAGUAGUCAGAGCCCGUUAACGGGUGAUGGCGUGCCUUUUGUAGAAUGAACCGGCGAGUUACGAUCCCAUGCAAGGUUAAGCUGAUAAGGCGGAGCCGUAGCGAAAGCGAGUCUGAAUAGGGCGUUUAGUAUGUGGUUGUAGACCCGAAACCAGGUGAUCUACCCAUGUCCAGGGUGAAGUUCAGGUAACACUGAAUGGAGGCCCGAACCCACGCACGUUGAAAAGUGCGGGGAUGAGGUGUGGGUAGCGGAGAAAUUCCAAUCGAACCUGGAGAUAGCUGGUUCUCUCCGAAAUAGCUUUAGGGCUAGCCUCAUGUUGUGAGAGUCUUGGAGGUAGAGCACUGAUUGGACUAGGGGCCCCCAACGGGUUACCGAAUUCAGUCAAACUCCGAAUGCCAAAGACUUAUCCAUGGGAGUCAGACUGCGAGUGAUAAGAUCCGUAGUCAAAAGGGAAACAGCCCAGACCACCAGCUAAGGUCCCCAAGUAUACGUUAAGUGGAAAAGGAUGUGGAGUUGCUUAGACAACCAGGAUGUUGGCUUAGAAGCAGCCACCAUUUAAAGAGUGCGUAAUAGCUCACUGGUCGAGUGACUCUGCGCCGAAAAUGUACCGGGGCUAAACGUAUCACCGAAGCUGUGGAUUGACAUCUUUGAUGUCAGUGGUAGGAGAGCGUUCUAAGUGCAGCGAAGUCAGACCGUAAGGACUGGUGGAGCGCUUAGAAGUGAGAAUGCCGGUAUGAGUAGCGAAAGACAAGUGAGAAUCUUGUCCACCGAAUGCCUAAGGUUUCCUGAGGAAGGCUCGUCCGCUCAGGGUUAGUCGGGACCUAAGCCGAGGCUGAAAAGCGUAGGCGAUGGCCAACAGGUUGAUAUUCCUGUACCACCUCCCCGCCGUUUGAGUAAUGGGGGGACGCAGUAGGAUAGGGUAAGCGCGCUGCUGGAUAUGCGCGUUCAAGCAGUUAGGCUGAUGAGUAGGCAAAUCCGCUCAUCAUAAAGGCUGAGCUGUGAUGACGAGGGAAUUAUAGUACCGAAGUUCCUGAUUCCACACUGCCAAGAAAAGCCUCUAGCGAGGCGGGAGGUGCCCGUACCGCAAACCGACACAGGUAGGCGAGGAGAGAAUCCUAAGGUGAUCGAGAGAACUCUCGUUAAGGAACUCGGCAAAAUGACCCCGUAACUUCGGGAGAAGGGGUGCUCUGGUAGGGUGUAUAGCCCGAGAGAGCCGCAGUGAAUAGGCCCAGGCGACUGUUUAGCAAAAACACAGGUCUCUGCGAAGCCGCAAGGCGAAGUAUAGGGGCUGACGCCUGCCCGGUGCUGGAAGGUUAAGAGGAGGGGUUAUCCUUUGGGAGAAGCUCUGAAUCGAAGCCCCAGUAAACGGCGGCCGUAACUAUAACGGUCCUAAGGUAGCGAAAUUCCUUGUCGGGUAAGUUCCGACCCGCACGAAAGGCGUAACGAUCUGGGCACUGUCUCAACGAGAGACUCGGUGAAAUUAUAGUACCUGUGAAGAUGCAGGUUACCCGCGACAGGACGGAAAGACCCCGUGGAGCUUUACUGUAGCCUGAUAUUGAAUUUUGGUACAGCUUGUACAGGAUAGGUAGGAGCCUGAGAAGCCGGAGCGCUAGCUUCGGUGGAGGCGUCGGUGGGAUACUACCCUGGCUGUAUUGAAAUUCUAACCCGCGGCCCUGAUCGGGCCGGGAGACAGUGUCAGGUGGGCAGUUUGACUGGGGCGGUCGCCUCCUAAAAUGUAACGGAGGCGCCCAAAGGUUCCCUCAGAAUGGUUGGAAAUCAUUCGUAGAGUGUAAAGGCACAAGGGAGCUUGACUGCGAGACCUACAAGUCGAGCAGGGACGAAAGUCGGGCUUAGUGAUCCGGUGGUUCCGCAUGGAAGGGCCAUCGCUCAACGGAUAAAAGCUACCCCGGGGAUAACAGGCUUAUCUCCCCCAAGAGUCCACAUCGACGGGGAGGUUUGGCACCUCGAUGUCGGCUCAUCGCAUCCUGGGGCUGUAGUCGGUCCCAAGGGUUGGGCUGUUCGCCCAUUAAAGCGGUACGCGAGCUGGGUUCAGAACGUCGUGAGACAGUUCGGUCCCUAUCCGUCGUGGGCGUAGGAAAUUUGAGAGGAGCUGUCCUUAGUACGAGAGGACCGGGAUGGAUACACCGCUGGUGUACCAGUUGUCUUGCCAAAGGCAUCGCUGGGUAGCUAUGUGUGGACGGGAUAAGUGCUGAAAGCAUCUAAGCAUGAAGCCCCCCUCAAGAUGAGAUUUCCCAUAGCGCAAGCUAGUAAGAUCCCUGAAAGAUGAUCAGGUUGAUAGGUCAGAGGUGGAAGCGUGGCGACAUGUGUAGCUGACUGAUACUAAUCGAUCGAGGACUUAACCAA
rnacentral:rRNA from 1 species